UGGACUACGUUCUUCACAACCAGACUGCCAGGGACCGUCUCGAGUGGGUGAAGAAAACGAAAAUACCGGACGAGACCUAUUUCAACACCCUGAAUAGCAACCCGCAUCUUGGCGUGCUGGGGUCGGAUAAAGGUGAACCAGAGAAGUAUCUGUUGUCGAGGUUUAAGAAUUGGGGAGAGUUGCCGUGUGCCGGAAAGUUUGUAAGAGGUGUGUGCGUCCUAGGCGUUGGAGAUUUACAUUUCUUGGUGAAAGAGAAACAACUCUUUGCCAACAAAUUUCACCUGGAUUUUCAACCUUACGCCUUGGAUUGUAUCGAAGAAUGGCAUUACAACAGAACACGAGACGAAUAUUUAGGUGUUACAAACUUUGAUUAUAGUUACUAUAAAAAUCUGGAUUUUGUUAAA